rnacentral:rRNA from 1 species
GAUGAACGCUGGCGGCGUGCCUAAUACAUGCAAGUCGAGCGAACAGACGAGGAGCUUGCUCCUCUGACGUUAGCGGCGGACGGGUGAGUAACACGUGGAUAACCUACCUAUAAGACUGGGAUAACUUCGGGAAACCGGAGCUAAUACCGGAUAAUAUAUUGAACCGCAUGGUUCAAUAGUGAAAGACGGUUUUGCUGUCACUUAUAGAUGGAUCCGCGCCGCAUUAGCUAGUUGGUAAGGUAACGGCUUACCAAGGCGACGAUGCGUAGCCGACAUGAGAGGAGGAGAGGCAACACGGGAAAUGAGACACGGCCCAGACUCCUAAGGGAGGAAGCAGUGGGGAAUAUUGGGAAAUGGGCGAAAGCCUGACAGAGCAAUGCAGCGUGAGUGAUGAAGGUCUUCGGAUUGUAAAACACUGUAAUUAGGGAAGAACAAAAGUACAAUUAAACAUGCACGUCUUGAGGGUACCUACUCAAAAAGCAAGGGCUAAGGACGUG